rnacentral:rRNA from 1 species
UACGGGGGGGGGCAAGCGUUGUUCGGAAUUACUGGGCGUAAAGGGCUCGUAGGCGGCCAACUAAGUCGGACGUGAAAUCCCUCGGCUUAACCGAGGAACUGCGUCCGAUACUGGAUGGCUUGAGUGUGGGAGAGGGAUGCGGAAUUCCUGGUGUAGCGGUGAAAUGCGCAGAUAUCAGGAGGAACACCGGUGGCGAAGGCGGGUCUCUGGGCCGAUACUGACGCUGAGGAGCGAAAGCGUGGGGAGCGAACAGG